GUGCUCGUAGCUCAGAUGGAUAGAGUCUUGGCCUCCGAAGUCAAGUGUCGGGCGUUCGAAUCGCCUCGAGCACG
rnacentral:tRNA from 1 species